UUCCACUUUCCUUAGAACUGCACUGAAUAUGCAGAUGAGAAAGCAACUUAAAGCUGAGGAGGCCACUUCAGACAUCUUCUGAAACAUCACUAUCAUCAGGUCUACAGUGCAGUCAACAUGAAGACUCUCAGCCUGACGGCGGGACUGCUGCUCAUGGUGUUUGCAGUUUACCCCAGCGAUGCCUCUAAGGCAGUGAAUGCACCUGACCUUUGCUGUUUUCACUUCUUUGACAAACGGAUCCCAAAGGCGAACAUCGUGUCCAUCGUGAAAACUCACAGACAAUGUUCCACACCAGCAUUUGUGAUCGAGACACCCAGAACACUUUUCUGUGUGAAGCAGACUGUGAAGUGGGCAAUGGAACAAUUUGUUAAAGAAGAGAGAGCGAAAAUUGAACCAAUGCUACAAUUAACACUUCAAAAAUCACAAAAUGCUUUCACUCCAUGAAGUUACUUUGUAAACUGUUGCUGGAAUUUUAACCCCUUUAGUCUUUACCUGCUUAAUUACAGCUGCAGAAUAUAGAGAACAUUUAUUUUAUGCUGAUUUCAAAUUUUUUUUUUUACAUUAUCACAAUAUCAACUUCAUAAUUUGGGAAUUAUGUUAAUCCAGUAUGUAAAACUCAGUUGAUAAAGUGUCUUCCCUCAUUAAUAUCCCAUAAUCAUCUGAAGGUGCUCUUACUGUAAGAUAGGAGCAUUGAAGAACCACAUGAAGUGCCAGACGACAUAAAGUUAGAUGGCAGGGUUAGUGAGUGCAAAGACAGAGUGCUGAAAAAGUCUCCAAUGUUUUGGUGACUAAGAAACUCCAGAGUUCCUCUUCUGGAAUUAAAAUUGGGAUGUGGGUUUUCAUGGCCUGUAGGUGUAAUGUGUAGGUGACCCCAUACGUUUGUCCAUAUAGUAUUCCACACCGCCUACCCUCCAUUAAGCCAUGUUGACCCAGGUUGAUGUGACUGUGUCUCAAAGAGCCUCAUUUGAUGAGCAAAGUUUAUGUUCAGCACUCUUAGGCUUUCUUUAAGCAGCUCUCCAAAGCUUUGAGGUGUGUUUGGCUUCAAUAUCCUGCUGCAGUGUGAAUUCUUCUCCACAAAGAUCUACAUCACUGUUGGAGCACAUCUCUGAAGAAUGGAUCACUGCUUGCCCUCAGUCAGGGUGCAGUUGACUCACAUCAGGUGUUCAGCUCUGGGUCUGGAAACACCACCAGACUUAAACUCUCACCGUCUGAUCCACUGUGGUAUCUCUCCCUCACCUUACAAAGGCCCUUGUUUUCCUGCCUCUAAUCUCUGAGAGCGAUUGUUAAAAACAAUUUCAAAUAUUUUUGAUUCCCCAGACUCUGAGAUUAUUUUCAGGUUCAGAUGAAAGUUUUGCGCACGUUAAAUGUGUUCUCAGGCUUUUGGAUCUAGCUACGUAUAACAUGUAUCAAAUCAUGUGAUCAUUUGUCUUCACUGUGUUAUUGUUAUGCUGCUACAGUGUAUCUAAAAAGAUUUUGUCUUUCUUUAUUAUUUUGCUUUAUUCUUCAUUAAA